ACAUCCUGCAACAACAAAAACAAGAAUUUAUCCUUAGAUCUAAGUAUUGAUAUGAUCACUAAUAAAAAAUACAUAAUGCCUUUAAAGAAAUUUACACAAUGAUCAUUGAACUGAUUUAGGGAGAACUAAUGAAUCCAUUUAACAAAGAGAAUUGACAAUGCAUUUGUCGGACCACGUCAAUGAAAUCUCAAGCUCAACUUUUCUGAAUUGAUUGAAAAUAAAGAGUGGCAUAGUACAAGCUUGAUAAAAGAAUCAAAUUGAUUGUCAAAAUUAAUGGAGUCGCUGACUCUAUU
rnacentral:misc_RNA from 1 species